UGGGAAGGGAAGACUGAGGAGGGAUCUCGUUAAUGAAUAAAAAUAUCUCCAAGGGAUGUCAGGGCAUAGUGCCAGACUCGUCAGCGGUGCCCAGCCACAGGACGAGGAGCAAUGGCUGUAAACUAAACCAGAAGUUCCUCCUCAGCAUGAGGAAGAGCUUCUUUCCAUGAGGGUGGCAGGGAGCAGCUGGGCAUGGAGUCCCCCUUUCUGGAGCCACCCCAAACCUACCUGGACACUCUUCCUAUUUAAUCUGCUCCAGGUGACCAUGCCUUGGCCAGGGUGAUCUCCAGAGAGCCCUUCCAACCCUCACAAAUCUGUGAUUCUGUGUUGUUUCCCUCAGGAACUUGACAAAUAGCAAUUCUGUACUUAGAACUUCUUUUUUUUUUUUUUUUUUUUUUUUCCCAGCUUGGCUUAUAAAGGUACUCACACAGCCAAAGUUUCCAGAGCAUUCUUUUCAUAUUUUCCUCACAGCCUCCAUCAUUGCACUGGAAGGGUUUGCAUGAAAGAGAAAGUAGGAAAAAAAUAAUAAGGAAGCAUUAAAUUUGCAAUUUCUGUCUUGCAGACCUCACGUAAAUCAGGCAGGAGAGAUGUUACCAAAAUGGAAUAAUUUCCCACCAGAACUCAUACUGAAACCCUAAUUAAUAUUGAAAAGUCUGUGCUCUGCCAUGUCUACAAAUCCAUGGAAUUUGGAUGGUGGCAUGUUCCCAGCCCAGCUGGACGUUGGCAGCACGUGUCUCCUGGGAGAGCUGGCAGAGAGGAGCCAAGGGCAGUGUUCUGCUCUGUCUGCAUGGGCCGCCCGAGGUUAUUCUGCACUUGCUAAAGCCAGGUGUGAAUUUCUGCCUGGGUCAGAGGCCCAGGUUCAGGAGCAGUGCUCCGUGGAGCAGGUGACUCCCAGGAUACUCACAGGUCACUGUGCUGUGGGCAGUGCUGUCACUGUCAAUGCCAAUCACUGCCAGGUCACAGGGGUGCCGAGGGAAGGUCUCCACUGGGAGCCUUUUCUUCCGGCAGCAGAACUUGACACAGCUCGCUGAGACCCCACAGAGCAGGAGCAGGAACACCAUCAGCAAGAUCAGCCUGAAACAGGGGGAAAGACCAUCAUCACUGCUGCUGUUUCACUACUUCUGAACCAGAAUAUAAUUUCACUUGAAAUGGUUGGAAGAUCCGCCGAGCCUCCUUGAUUUAGUUCUGAAUGGGUGCUGGAUCCUGGAUUAGGAAGGUGGAUCACAAACACUCAAUCACAAGUUGAAGAACUGCUGCCCAUAAGUACAACCCGUUCUGGCUCACAGGUGCUGUAACAUUUCACUAUUUUGGGUCAUUUUCAGCUUCUGUGCAGGGAGAAUGGCUCUGCUUUCCACAGCAAGAGAGGGUUUGUACUUGGAGGGAAAUACAAGCACAAACUUCCACAAGUCUAGGGCCUCUCUUUAUAAAUGAGGAUGGAAAUGAUAUGAUGUUAAAUUAUGCUUAUGCCUUGAAAACACAAUUCUAUCUGUAGCUAUUGCUUAAGGAAGUCUAUAAUUUAAUAAUUUACAAUGUACCUAGACUGAUAUACUUGUGUUUCAGGUUCCCCUCUCCACUGAAACUCCACCUUUCCACCUCUCAGUUUCUCAAUCCAACUCCCUCUUCUCGUGGAGGCUUUUAGAAGCCUUCUCAAUCUAUUUCUGGUAACUGUGUCUUUUUAAACAGCUUUGUGUGUCAACAAAAGUUGCAGCAGACUGAAGGAUGUGAAGUAAUCAACUCCCUCUGUGUGCUGCCACCAAAGCCAAUGUAUGGACAGAAUGCAAACUAUGAAAACGAUGUCAGGGCACCUACACCAGGUGUGAGGUAGGAGAUGAAUCCUGUUGGGAAUUCUCUCUUGUCCCAGUCUCCCGCUCCCAGCAGGCCGUGCUGGAGCUCCGAGGGGAAGCUCAGCAGAGGGUGACAGUCCCUGUCCCAUAGAAGGGAAUGAGCCCAGGAUGAGCCCAGCAAAUCCCUGCUGGAAGCUGCCCUGUGCCAAGAGCCAAUGGCCAGCAAGGCUCUGGCUAUUUAGGAAGAAUAAACAAGCCCUGGAGUUCAACUCCAGUGCGCUCAGAAGGGAAAGAUGACACAGCCCUCAGUGAAUGCUGGUCCCCACCUGACACCCAAUCUCCCCUGGCCUCAUCCAGUCCAUUCCUCUGCAAACAGAGAAACCCUUUCCUGAUCCUGCCUGAGACAAGCGUUUCCACUGCCUUGCUCCAAGUCCUGCUCAUAAAAACUUCCAAAUGGUUCUGGGUGAGGAAGAUUAAAAGCCAACUUACCAGACAUACCACAGAUUUGUCCAAUCAGACAUGUUCUGAGGGCAUCUGUGAAGGAAGGCAGAUGAUUCACUGAUUUAAAUAGUGCAUGUAUGACAGGGAAUGCAUUCCCUGGGGUGGAAAAGGGAAAGCACUCAGUAAGAGUGUGGAGAAAAACCACUUUAGAUUGUUCUUCAUGGCUGUACCAUUACUCCACAUGAGAACAUGCAAAUAAUCCCACUGUAAAGGUUGCUUCUGAAUCAAUAAAUGUUUUUAUUGA